GGGGCUGUAGCUCAGUUGGGAGAGCGCAUCGUUCGCAAUGAUGAGGUCAGGGGUUCGAUCCCCCUCAGCUCCA
rfam:Rhodobacter sp. LPB0142, complete genome.